rnacentral:rRNA from 1 species
AUGCAAGUCGAGCGGAACGAUGGAGCUUGCUCCAGGCGUCGAGCGGCGGACGGGUGAGUAAUGCAUAGGAAUCUGCCCGGUAGUGGGGGAUAACCUGGGGAAACCCAGGCUAAUACCGCAUACGUCCUACGGGAGAAAGCAGGGGAUCUUCGGACCUUGCGCUAUCGGAUGAGCCUAUGUCGGAUUACCUUGUUGGUGAGGUAAUGGCUCACCAAGGCAACAAUCCGUACCUGGUCUGAAAGGAUGAUCAGCCACUUCGGGACUGAAACACGGCCCGAACUCCUACGGGAGGCAGCAGUGGGGAAUAUUGGACAAUGGGCGAAAGCCUGAUCCAGCCAUGCCGCGUGUGUGAAAAAGGCUUUCGGGUUGUAAAGCACUUUCAGUGAGGAAAAAGGCCUUGGGGCUAAUACCCCCAAGGAAGGACAUCACUCACAGAAAAAGCACCGGCUAACUCCGUGCCAGCAGCCGCGGUAAUACGGAGGGUGCGAGCGUUAAUCGGAAUUACUGGGCGUAAAGCGCGCGUAGGCGGCGUGAUAAGCCGGUUGUGAAAGCCCCGGGCUCAACCUGGGAACGGCAUCCGGAACUGUCAGGCUAGAGUGCAGGAAAGGAAGGUAGAAUUCCCGGUGUAGCGGUGAAAUGCGUAAAGAUCGGGAGGAAUACCAGUGGCGAAGGCGGCCUUCUGGACUGACACUGACGCUGAGGUGCGAAAGCGUGGGUAGCAAACAGGAUUAGAUACCCUGGUAGUCCACGCCGUAAACGAUGUCAACUAGCCGUUGGGGUCCUAGAGACCUUUGUGGCGCAGUUAACGCGAUAAGUCGACCGCCUGGGGAGUACGGCCGCAAGGUUAAAACUCAAAUGAAUUUGACGGGGGCCCGCACAAGCGGUGAAGCAUGUGGUUUAAUUUCGAUGCAACGCGAAGAACCUUACCUACCCUUGACAUCGUGCGACUUUCAGAGAUGGAUUGUGCUUCGGGAGCGCACAAGACAGUGCUGC